CCCCGGCCGCGGGGACCCGGGGACGCCGCCCGCCGCCCGCCGCCCGCCCGGCUCGGCGCCCUCUCUCCAGCCACACCGCGCAGAAAUUUAGGUCAAGGACGUCGCGAUCAGACCCAAACCCCGGCGCCCCUCUGCGGGCCCGAGACGCCCCCGCCCCCCGCCGCCCGGCCUCGGGGAGCCCCAGGAUUGCGGAGACCCUCCCGCACCCGCGGCAGCCACAAGUUUUUAUUUCCCUUUGGCGCUGGAAGUUCUCUCCGCUCUCGCUCCACACCGGCACGUCCUGCGCCACCCCCCGCCCUCCCCGGCGGAGGUACGAAGCCCUCGGCCGCGCCGCGCCGGGGAAGGUUAUUUUGGAACUUUGAGAGACUGGCGAGAUUCCUCCGGGGAGAAGCGCCGAAGGAGGGGUGUCCGUGCUAACCGCACGGAGUCUAACAGCAUAGGGCCAAUAGGAUUAGGACACAAUGGAACACACUCAACACCAAAACUAUACCAAAUCCAGUGUGGGUCGUGGAAAAGUGGAAUAUUUGGAAAAUCCCAACACUACCCAAAGCCUUGGAUGACCAGAUUGUUAAUCUCCCUGCCUCUUAUUUUUGGGAUAAUUCCUCACUAACAGGAUUGAUGGGGUGAAAGGAGAGAUUGAAAGUUCUAGAAACUGAUUUCUUGGUCCGGAGCUUCCAGAAAUCCAUUGCAGGCUUGCCUGAUGAUUUUCCCCGGAGGGCUCCUUCCAUCACCUCCACCCUCCUAAGUUCCCUUUGCCCCCCCCCCCCCAUAAUGGUGCUGAGAGGAUGAAAGGUCAAGGCCAGGAAAGGUCUGAGCUGACAGUGGUGACCCUGGGAUGGAUGCCUGGAGCUUGCAUUUCUUUGCCAUGGCUUCCAUGGGGUCCUCCAGAUUUCCCUACAACUGAAUCCUUUGUCCCAGGCAGUAUGUCUCUUAUGCUAACUGCUUAUGGACCCCUAUAGCUGGUUACCUAACGAUAGUCCCUCUACCUAUUUCUGCUCCUUUCCUACAGAAGUUCAGUGGGUGUACCCUUUUCAAACAACUCCACCCUUGGAGGGCUAUAGAACUGCAACCUUUUGACUUUUAUAGUCGUGUACUGAUUUCUCCAAAAUAGUGAUUUCUCUGCUACCACGGGCUGCUUGGACCAGCUGCCCGACUUUUCUCUCAAACGUGAGUUCAGUUUCCAAUCCCUGUGUCCUUCUAAACUCGUGAGUAGCCUAAACCCAACUCUCAGUGGGUGGUCUGCUGGGAGCUUCUCUCACUGGACUGGAGGUGAGAGGAAACAUGCCCUACUUUUUCUCAAGAGGAAAGUGAGAUUCACAUCACACUCCAGCUCUCUCUAAAAUUCCAGUGUCUGUCUGGCCUUUUCAUCUUCAAUCUCUUGGCAGCCAACUCUUUUCUUUAAAUACAACUAUGUUUUUAAACACUGAAAAUUUGAAAAAAAAAAAAAGAAAUAUGCAAAUAGCAACAUUCACCUUUUUAGUGUAAAGUUCUAGGAAUUUGGACAAAUGAAUAUAAUAUAAUAUAAUAUAAUAUAAUAUAAUAUAAUAUAAUAUGUUGUAACCAUUAAGUUCAUUACCUCCCCAAUUCCCUUCUCCCUUUGCAAUCAGCUCCUUUCCUCAGUCCAGCCCCUGGCAACCACUGAGCUGUCAUCAUCCCUAAAUAUUAGCCUUUUCCAGAAUGUCAUAUAAAUGGACUCAUUCAACAUGUAGACUUGGAGUUUGGCUUCUUUCGUGUAAUAUAGUGUUUUUGAGAUCCACCCAUGUUGUCCUGAGAAUUAAGAACUUGUUCCUUUUUGACUGCUGAGUAAGCUUCUGUAGUACAGAUGCACCAGUAUGUUUAUCCAGUUACCAACUGGAGGGUUUGGGAUUCUUUCCAGGUAUUGGCAAUUAUGCCUAAAGCCACUAUCAACAUUCAUGAAAAAAAUAUUCAUGAACAGGUCUUUGUGUGAACAUUUUAAUUUCACUUGGGUAAAUACCUAGAAGUGAGAUUAUUGGGUGAUAUUAUAAGAAACUAUCAAACUAGGGCAGUUUAGCAGUUUAGCGCCGCCUUCAGCCCAGGGCCUCACCCUGGAGACCUGGGAUUGAGUCCCACAUCAGGCUCCCUGCAUGGAGCCUGCUUCUCCCUCUGCCUGUCUCUGUCUCUGUCUCCCUCUGUCUCUCAUGAAUAGAUAAAUAAAAUCUUAAAAAAAAAAAAAAAGGAAAAAGAA
rnacentral:lncRNA from 1 species